UAGGAGAAACAGGCAGGAGGAUCAGGAGGGAGGGAAAAAAAGAUAAGGUCCUAAGGAGAACAGAGGCUGGUGUCAGCAGGGAGAGAUGAGUCACAAACAUGGCUGUAUUGGUUGCUUUUCUAUGGUUGAGGUAAAAUAUCGUGAUCGUGAGAAGACAACACACAAAACCAGCAGCUAGUUGAGCUUAUGAGUGCUAAGACUCCACGUGGAAGGAGCAAAGGCAUGGUGGCAGUAACAGCUGAGAGCUCACAUCUUGAUCAGCAAGCGGGAAACAGAAACCACAUGGGAAACCUGAAGCUCCUCACCAGUGACACACCUCCUCCAAUAAAGUCACACUUCCUAGUCCUUUCUAAACAGAUUCAUUGACAGAGGACUUGAGAAUCCCAACCUAUGAGUCUGUUGGACAUAUUCUCACCCAGAUCACAAUAAAGACUGGCAGAAGCCAAUUACAAAAGC